UACAGAGGGGGCAAGCGUUGUUCGGAAUUACUGGGCGUAAAGGGCGCGUAGGCGGCCCGCUAAGUCGAACGUGAAAUCCCUGGGCUCAACCCAGGAACUGCGUCCGAUACUGGUUGGCUUGAAUCCGGGAGAGGGACGUGGAAUUCCAGGUGUAGCGGUGAAAUGCGUAGAUAUCUGGAGGAACACCGGUGGCGAAGGCGACGUCCUGGACCGGCAUUGACGCUGAGGCGCGAAAGCCAGGGGAGCAAACGGG
rnacentral:rRNA from 1 species